rnacentral:rRNA from 1 species
GAUGAACGCUGGCGGCGUGCCUAAUACAUGCAAGUCGAGCGAACAGAUGAGGAGCUUGCUCCUCUGACGUUAGCGGCGGACGGGGGAGUAACACGUGGAUAACCUCCCUAUCAGACUGGGGUAACUUCGGGAAACCGGAGCUAAUACCGGAUAAUAUAUUGCACCGCAUGGUUCAAUAGUGAAAGACGGUUUUGCUGUCACUUAUAGAUGGAUCCGCGCCGCAUUAGCUAGUUGGUAAGGUAACGGCUUACCAAGGCAACGAUGCGUAGCCGACCUGAGAGGGUGAUCGGCCACACUGGAACUGAGACACGGUCCAGACUCCUACGGGAGGCAGCAGUAGGGAAUCUUCCGCAAUGGGCGAAAGCCUGACGGAGCAACGCCGCGUGAGUGAUGAAGGUCUUCGGAUCGUAAAACUCUGUUAUUAGGGAAGAACAAAUGUGUAAGUAACUAUGCACGUCUUGACGGUACCUAAUCAGAAAGCCACGGCUAACUACGUG